rnacentral:tRNA from 1 species
GGUAAAGUAAGCUAACUUAAGCUAUUGGGCUCAUACCCCAACAAUGGACUAACCCCCCUUUACCA